GAUGAACGCUAGCGGCAGGCUUAACACAUGCAAGUCGAGGGGUAGAAGUUGCUUGCAACUUUGAGACCGGCGCACGGGUGCGUAACGCGUAUGCAACCUACCUUUUACAGAGGGAUAGCCCAGAGAAAUUUGGAUUAAUACCUCAUAGUAUAUAACCUUCGCAUGUUGGUUAUAUUAAAGUUCCAACGGUAAAAGAUGGGCAUGCGUCCUAUUAGCUAGUUGGUGUGGUAACGGCACACCAAGGCGACGAUAGGUAGGGGUCCUGAGAGGGAGAUCCCCCACCCUGGUACUGCGACGCGGACCAGACUCCUACGGGAGGCAGCAGUGGGGAAUAUUGGACGAUGGGCGCAAGCCUGAUCCAGCCAUGCCGCGUGCAGGAAGAAGCAUCUAUGGUGUGUAAACUGCCUUUGUACAGGAAGAAACACCCCUUCGUGAAGGGACUUGACGGUACUGUAAGAAUAAGGAUCGGCUAACUCCGUGCCAGCCGCCGCCGUAACAC
rnacentral:rRNA from 1 species